rnacentral:rRNA from 1 species
UGGCGGACGGGUGAGUAAUGUCUGGGAAACUACCCGAUGGAGGGGGAUAACUACUGGAAACGGUAGCUAAUACCGCAUAACGUCGCAAGACCAAAGAGGGGGACCUUCGGGCCUCUUGCCAUCGGAUGUGCCCAGAUGGGAUUAGCUAGUAGGUGGGGUAACGGCUCACCUAGGCGACGAUCCCUAGCUGGUCUGAGAGGAUGACCAGCCACACUGGAACUGAGACACGGUCCAG